rnacentral:lncRNA from 1 species
GCGGAGCUUAAUGUGUAAGGUCCAAAAAGGGUAAUUUGACUGAUUCUUUUUAAAGUAUUUUUAAAGUAAACUAACAAAAAUAAAUGAAAUACACAUUUUUAAACAGCAAUAUAUGCGAUAGGUUAAAACAGAUAUUUCAUAUCUUUUGGAUAGUUUUGUGGUGUUUCGUAAAUUAUACCAUAGCUUUUGUUGAAACCCCUCGGCAACC